rnacentral:rRNA from 1 species
UACGUAGGGGGCAAGCGUUGUCCGGAAUCAUUGGGCGUAAAGCGCGCGUAGGCGGCCCGGUAAGUCCGCUCUGAAAGUCCAGGGCUCAACCCUGGAAAGCGGGUGGAUACUGCCGGGCUAGAAUCCGGAAGAGGCGAGUGGAAUUCCUGGUGUAGCGGUGGAAUGCGCAGAUAUCAGGAGGAACACCGGUGGCGAAGGCGGAUCUCUGGGCCUGUCCUGACGCUGAGGCGCGAAAGCUAGGGGAGCGAACAGG